rnacentral:tRNA from 1 species
GUAGAGAUGGCUCAGUGGUUAAGAGCACUGACUGCUCUUCCAGAGGACCUGAGUUCAAUUCUCAGCAUUCACA